rnacentral:rRNA from 1 species
UGGGGAAUAUUGCACAAUGGGCGCAAGCCUGAUGCAGCGACGCCGCGUGAGGGAUGGAGGCCUUCGGGUUGUAAACCUCUUUUGUUAGGGAGCAAGGCAUUUUGUGUUGAGUGUACCUUUCGAAUAAGCACCGGCUAACUACGUGCCAGCAGCCGCGGUAAUACGUAGGGUGCAAGCGUUAUCCGGAAUUAUUGGGCGUAAAGGGCUCGUAGGCGGUUCGUCGCGUCCGGUGUGAAAGUCCAUCGCUUAACGGUGGAUCCGCGCCGGGUACGGGCGGGCUUGAGUGCGGUAGGGGAGACUGGAAUUCCCGGUGUAACGGUGGAAUGUGUAGAUAUCGGGAAGAACACCAAUGGCGAAGGCAGGUCUCUGGGCCGUUACUGACGCUGAGGAGCGAAAGCGUGGGGAGCGAACAGG